AAUCGGUUGCUUCCUGAAGAACCAUAAUCAACGCUUUCAUAACAUCUUGAAUAACCACUCGUUUGGACGAAGACUACGUUACGUUUCAGCAGACGCUUAAAUAAACUUUUAUCGUCAUGGUCUGACUUUUGAUAAAGGCCAGCAUCUACGUGGUGAGGAAGAUCCGGGCCUCGAUCCAGGACGGGGAGCAGAGAGAGGAACCCAUCUUCACACCAUGUAGUCUGGCCAAAGGUGAGCAUAAGCAGCUCUCAGUGUCUGGGAAGACAGCCAUGUUGACCUCUGACCCUGAUGAUGUGUCAGCUGCCGGGGCUCAGGCUCCAUCCACUGAGACGGCUGUGCAGAAGUGCGGCUCCUGAGGUUAAAGGUCACGCCUGCAGGUUGCCUGGGGUAACGGAAUGCCAACAAACACUGCUGUCCGCCAGAAGUCUUGUCAUCCUUUGGACUGGUUUGACAUGUCACACAGGGUGACACCCCAUUGAGCCCUAUGCCAACAUUGACCAGGUUAGGCAGAUAGAGGCAGCGUUACAGCAAACAGUGAGAUCAGAAUUAGAUUCCUGACUGCUGAAACUCAGCAGAGGCGGAGGGUAAAAUUUUAAAGUCAAAGUAUCUUUAAUGUCCACCUCCAGUCCCAACACAUAGAGGAGUCUCAGAGGAUCAUCAGCCAUGGAGGGGAUGACCAAGCCUCCGAGUAAGCAGCAGUGUGGGUACAUCACAGUUGGGACAUCAUUAUGACAUCACAGUUCCCCCAGACCAGCACUGGCAGACGUGACCUACGACCAAAGAGUCUCUCUCUCUCUCUCUCUCUCUCUCUCUCUCUCUCUAUCUAUCUAUCUAUCUAUCUAUCUAUUAGGGGUGUCACGAUUCUCCAAAUCCUCGGUUCGAUGUAAUUUUCGAUUUUAAAGUC